rnacentral:rRNA from 1 species
CGACAAUACACGGGGCUAAGCUGGACACCGAAGCGGCGGGAUUUUAUCUAUAUAGAAUCGGUAGGGGAGCUUCCCAUGGGCGGGGAAGCCGCCGGGCGACCGGCGGUGGAGCGCAUGGGAGUGAGAAUGCUGGCAUGAGUAGCGAGAGACGAGAGAGUAACUCGUCCGCCGUGAACCCGAGGUUUCCUGGGCAAGGCUAAUCCUCCCAGGGUCAGUCGGGGGCUAAGGCGAGGCCGGAAGGCGUAGCCGACGCGCAGCAGGCAGACAUUCCUGCACCGCGCACGCGGCGCUACGACCGACGGGGCGACGGAUGGGGGUGGCUCGGCGGGGUUCUGGACGUCCCCGUGAUGGAGCGCGGCCCGCGGACCAGGGAAAUCCGGUCCGCAGGAGGGCGAGGCUCCGGACGAAGCACUUAAGCGAAGCGAGUGAGCCCGAGGUCCCUAGAAAAACCCCUAGGCAGGCGCGUGCGCGCCCGUACCGCAAACCGACACAGGUGGGUGGGUAGAACAUACCGAGGCGAUCGGGUCAACCAUGGUCAAGGAACUCGGCACAAUGGCCCCGUAACUUCGGGAGAAGGGGUGCCCGCGCGUACGUGAACGGACUUGCUCCGGGAGCGGAGGCGGGCCGCAGUGGAGAGGCCCAAGCGACUGUUUACCAAAAACACAGGACUCUGCAGAAGCCGCAAGGCGACGUAUAGGGUCUGACGCCUGCCCGGUGCCGGAAGGUCACGCGGAGGAGUUAGCGCAUCGCGCGAAGCCCCGAAGCCAAGCCCCGGUAAACGGCGGCCGUAACUAUAACGGUCCUAAGGUAGCGAAAUUCCUUGUCGGGUAAGUUCCGACCUGCACGAAAGGCGCAACGACUUGGGCGCUGUCUCGACCAUGGACCCGGUGAAAUUGCACUGGUCGUGAAGAUGCGACUUACCCGCGGAAGGACGGAAAGACCCCGUGAACCUUCACUGCAGCUUGGCAUUGGCCGCUGGUCCCGCGUGUAGAGGAUAGGCAGGAGGCAUCGAUCCGGAGGCGCCAGCCCCCGGGGAGCCGCCCUUGGAAUACUGCCCUCGCGCGACCGGCGUCCUAACCCGAGGCCGUCAACCGGCUCGGGGACCGUGCCAGGCGGGCAGUUUGACUGGGGCGGUCGCCUCCUAAAGGGUAACGGAGGCGCGCGAAGGUCCGCUCGGGACGGUCGGCAACCGUCCUUUUGAAUGCAAGAGUACAAGCGGGCUUGACUGCGAGGCCCACAAGCCGAGCAGGUGCGAAAGCAGGCUCUAGUGAUCCGGCGGCCCCGAGUGGGUGGGCCGUCGCUCAACGGAUAAAAGGUACUCCGGGGAUAACAGGCUGAUCUUGCCCAAGAGUCCACAUCGACGGCAAGGUUUGGCACCUCGAUGUCGGCUCAUCGCAUCCUGGGGCUGGAGCAGGUCCCAAGGGUACGGCUGUUCGCCGUUUAAAGCGGUACGCGAGCUGGGUUCAGAACGUCGUGAGACAGUUCGGUCCCUAUCCUCCGUGGGCGCAGGAGAAUCGAUGGAGGCUGCCCCCAGUACGAGAGGACCGGGGUGGACGCACCUCCGGUGAACCGGUUGUCGACCAACGGCACGGCCGGGUAGCCGCGUGCGGCGCGGAUAACCGCUGAAGGCAUCUAAGCGGGAAGCCGUUCCAGGGAUUAGUUCUCCUUCCGGUAAGGGCCCAGGUAGACUACCUGGUCGAUAGACGGCAGGUGCAAGGCUGGCGACAGCCUCAGCCGAGCCGCACUAAUCGCCCGAGCUCUUCC